GACGAACGCUGGCGGCGUGCUUAACACAUGCAAGUCGAACGGAAAGGCCCCUUUGGGGGUACUCGAGUGGCGCACGGGUGAGUAACACGUGAGUAACCUGCCCUUGACUUCGGGAUAACUUCAGGAAACUGGGGCUAAUACCGGAUAGGAAUCCUUGCUGCAUGGUGGGGGUUGGAAAGCUUCGGCGGUUUUGGAUGGACUCGCGGCUUAUCAGCUUGUUGGUGGGGUAGUGGCUUACCAAGGCUUUGACGGGUAGCCGGCCUGAGAGGGCGACCGGCAACAUUGGGACUGAGAUACGGCCCAGACUCCUACGGGAGGCAGCAGUGGGGAAUAUUGCACAAUGGGCGGAAGCCUGAUGCAGCAACGCCGCGUGCGGGAUGACGGCCUUCGGGUUGUAAACCGCUUUCAGCAGGGGCGAAGCUUGUGGUGACGGUACCUGCAGAAGAAGCACCGGCUAACUACGUG
rnacentral:rRNA from 1 species